rnacentral:misc_RNA from 1 species
GUUUAGUCUAGUUUACUCUACCACUCUUAGUUUACUCUACCACGUUAGGAGAUAAACGUGGAAGUAAUAAACAUGGAAGUGAUAAACGAUCAGGCCUGAGAGAUUGAUAAGAUGAAAAAGGAAUGUCAAAGAAAACGAUAGAUACGAAUUAGAAUAGGCAAAUUAACAGACGCAAACAGAAGGAGGCUUUGAAGACGAUGAACGCUGCACGAGGCGAUCGUAAUUAUUUUUUCAACACACAAACGAGCACGAAAGCGAACCGAAGGUACGAAAGGAAGAGGAGUGAAUUAUUAACGUACGAUAGAACGUAUCGUCUAAGAAUCGAGGAAGAAGCAGCACGGUCGAGGGCACAGCUACUGAGAUAAUCAUCUGAUCGAUGAUUCUUUUUUCUCUUUCCUUUGUUUGCACAUUUGUAACCAUACAGUUUCCUCGACUUUGAUAUUUAUUAUAUCAUUAGCGUUAAGAAUAUCAGAAUUUCCUCCAAUCGAUAUUACUCUCGCGUAAAUGUUCUUGUAAUACAUCUCUUUAUAUCUUAGAAAUCUUUUUCACAUCUUACAAACAAUUGCUAAAAUACAAUCUACUUUACUAUUAUACUUUUAUUUCAAUUGCCUAUUUAUGUA